GACGAACGCUGGCGGCGUGCUUAACACAUGCAAGUCGAACGGAAAGGCCCUGCUUUUGUGGGGUGCUCGAGUGGCGAACGGGUGAGUAACACGUGAGUAACCUGCCCUUGACUUUGGGAUAACUUCAGGAAACUGGGGCUAAUACCGGAUAGGAGCUCCUGCUGCGUGGUGGGGGUUGGAAAGUUUCGGCGGUUGGGGAUGGACUCGCGGCUUAUCAGCUUGUUGGUGGGGUAGUGGCUUACCAAGGCUUUGACGGGUAGCCGGCCUGAGAGGGUGACCGGCCACAUUGGGACUGAGAUACGGCCCAGACUCCUACGGGAGGCAGCAGUGGGGAAUAUUGCACAAUGGGCGGAAACCUGAUGCAGCAACGCCGCGUGCGGGAUGACGGCCUUCGGGUUGUAAACCGCUUUCGCCUGUGACGAAGCGUGAGUGACGGUAAUGGGUAAAGAAGCACCGGCUAACUACGUGCCAGCAGCCGCGGUGAUACGUAGGGUGCGAGCGUUGUCCGGAUUUAUUGGGCGUAAAGGGCUCGUAGGUGGUUGAUCGCGUCGGAAGUGUAAUCUUGGGGCUUAACCCUGAGCGUGCUUUCGAUACGGGUUGACUUGAGGAAGGUAGGGGAGAAUGGAAUUCCUGGUGGAGCGGUGGAAUGCGCAGAUAUCAGGAGGAACACCAGUGGCGAAGGCGGUUCUCUGGGCCUUUCCUGACGCUGAGGAGCGAAAGCGUGGGGAGCGAACAGGCUUAGAUACCCUGGUAGUCCACGCUGUAAACGGUGGGUACUAGGUGUGGGGUCCAUUCCACGGGUUCCGUGCCGUAGCUAACGCUUUAAGUACCCCGCCUGGGGAGUACGGCCGCAAGGCUAAAACUCAAAGGAAUUGACGGGGCCCCGCACAAGCGGCGGAGCAUGCGGAUUAAUUCGAUGCAACGCGUAGAACCUUACCUGGGUUUGACAUGGAUCGGGAGCGCUCAGAGAUGGGUGUGCCUCUUUUGGGGUCGGUUCACAGGUGGUGCAUGGCUGUCGUCAGCUCGUGUCGUGAGAUGUUGGGUUAAGUCCCGCAACGAGCGCAACCCUUGUUCACUGUUGCCAGCACGUUAUGGUGGGGACUCAGUGGAGACCGCCGGGGUCAACUCGGAGGAAGGUGGGGAUGACGUCAAGUCAUCAUGCCCCUUAUGUCCAGGGCUUCACGCAUGCUACAAUGGCUGGUACAGAGAGUGGCGAGCCUGUGAGGGUGAGCGAAUCUCGGAAAGCCGGUCUCAGUUCGGAUUGGGGUCUGCAACUCGACCUCAUGAAGUCGGAGUCGCUAGUAAUCGCAGAUCAACAACGCUGCGGUGAAUACGUUCCCGGG
rnacentral:rRNA from 1 species